rnacentral:lncRNA from 1 species
AAAAAACCAAAACAAACGGCCCUUAUUUGCAUUACUUAUCAAGAUUCCACAAAAUUUAUAGACAACACAGACUACAUUACAUGGAUGAAAGCCUUUCUAAACAAGAAAUAACUAUUUUUGGGAACAAACUGGUUUGGUGCCCAGUUCCUCCCACUCAAAGAUGUAGCAAUGUCAAAUGUGGCAUACCUACCCUAUAAAAUUCUAAAAAAGCAUAACUUUGAAGCCACAUUAAUACCUGUUAUAACAAUAAUAACAUCUCAUAUUACAUGAAAUAAUUUCGGAUGCUUAAUCUACAACAACCAUCUGAUCCGAAAUUUGUUUGAUCCAGUACAUCCAUGGUCUUCGAGACAAAUCAUGCAUUGCCUCUCUAUAUAUGUAUAUAUGACAUGUUUGGAAAUGGGAUAAAAAGAGAAUUCUAAAACCUAUAAUUAGCAAUUUACAGAUGUUAUAACAGAUAUGAAUAAAACAAAGGACAACACAAGAAAGAAGCCAGGCGGGAACGACUCCUCAAUUCUUAGUGCUUUAGAAUCUUACUUUGCUAUUGUAAUUGUAAUUAAAAGUGAAGCCAUACCCACAAAUUAUGGUAACUUAUAUAAAAUUGUGUUAUCCACGAUUCCUGCUUCAAAUAUGAGUUCUGUGGUCUUCAUUGUUCUAUAGAGUGCAUGAGCAGGCACAAAACCAGUAUCGUACUGCUCAACGCCAUAUUUCCCUCGUUUCUUCAUAACAAUUUCCACUCUGCAACAGCAAAAAUCAUGUAAUGGUGUCAGGCUCAUCAUCCAACAUAGCAGAAUGAUGCUAUCAAAGAUAUAAGCCACACAUUCAAGUCAAAAUAAACAGCAGAAAUGAGGAUUAUGCCAAUAUCUUAUUAGAGCCAUGCUUCUAUGAAUUGAGGACAAUUGAAGUUAGAUUUUCGAAUUGAAAGCUUUUACCUUGACCCUUAUCUGGGUUAUGAAUCAAGGACAAACUAACUGGCCAAGCAAGGCUAGAAUUUGGCAACUUUGAAUUCUGCCUAGAUAGGCAGAAUUCUCAAGCAACAUUAAUGCCCAUGCAUCAAUCACUUCACAAUAAUAAUGUCAAACUCCAUAAACAACAGUUGCAAUUUUUAUUUUAUAUCUUAAUAAUGUCUGAAAGCAAAAACUAACAUUGCAGACCCAAUCUUUGACUGAAAAAAGCAUACAACAAAUUAGUUUUUUGGUAUUCAUCAAGGCUAAACAAAACGACAGUCGCUCUCAUUCCCAUAAACUUCACCCCACUUACUCCUGUCAAGCAUAGAGUUCUCAACCAUAUGAAUUUCCCUUUUAAAAUGGCAGCUACAAUAACCUAAAAUCAUGAACUGAUAAAACUUCAGAGAAGAAUUCUUUUAUGCUAAAGAGCUACUCUUCUAUAUCCUUUCUGAUUACAGUAAAAUCCAGUAACCACAUCAAAUCGAACUUUAGCUAAGCUAUCCCUGAUAUGGGUGUUGCAAAUUAUAUACUUUCUGUGGUGGAGAUGCAGGACAUCAAUCUUAGCACAUGCAGCAAUACAUGUCUUCCAACCUUAAUUUUAAAGAAGAUAAACAUGUAUAUCGGUAUAAGUAUAACACUAUAACUUCAACAACUUAGUCACAUUUUCAAUUCCCAUCCUAUGUAUUUGUAUUUUUUUGAUCCACAAACCAAUAUAAGAGGAUAAAUAAGUAAAAUAUAGAUGGAACUUCAGAGUUUCAUCCUACAUCCUCAACUUCAACUUCAGAGUAAUCUGAUACCAGUGAUUUUUUUUUUCUUCCACUUUUACCCUGAUAAAGCUCAAAUUAUCCAAAGGUGAGAAGGAAAAUGAUAAUUGGUGAAGGCCAAAGCAAAAAUCCUAACUAACAGGUAUCAAACGUCACCUUGGUUCCCCACAAGGCUAAAACACCUAAAGAAACAGAUAUUAACAGGAUUUUAGAAAACAUAUGUGGCCACAAUGUCAAAAUUUAGAUAUAUCUUCAACCACCAUGCGGCCCCAUCAACCACAUUUAACUACAGUUUAAAACCUUCGAUCCAUUACUACACAGUAAGAAACAAAUUUGUUCAUCCGAAAAGUAAUCAACUGGUCCACUAGUACUCUUAAACGUUAAAUAUGAACAAUAAAAAAAAAAAUCUCGCAAUCCAUACACAAUAAGUAAUCAACAAACAUAGAUUAUGGUUUCUUACCAGGAGAAUCUUUACGCGGCGAAGCAAAGCAAAG